CCCAAUGUGAACCAUACCAAACUGUUGCCUCGGCGGGGUCACGCCCCGGGUGCGUCGCAGCCCCGGAACCAGGCGCCCGCCGGAGGGACCAACCAAACUCUUUCUGUAGUCCCCUCGCGGACGUUAUUUCUUACAGCUCUGAGCAAAAAUUCAAAAUGAAUCAAAACUUUCAACAACGGAUCUCUUGGUUCUGGCAUCGAUGAAGAACGCAGCGAAAUGCGAUAAGUAAUGUGAAUUGCAGAAUUCAGUGAAUCAUCGAAUCUUUGAACGCACAUUGCGCCCGCCAGUAUUCUGGCGGGCAUGCCUGUCCGAGCGUCAUUUCAACCCUCGAACCCCUCCGGGGGGUCGGCGUUGGGGAUCGGGAACCCCUAAGACGGGAUCCCGGCCCCGAAAUACAGUGGCGGUCUCGCCGCAGCCUCUCCUGCGCAGUAGUUUGCACAACUCGCACCGGGAGCGCGGCGCGUCCACGUCCGUAAAACACCCAACUUCUGAAAUGUUGACCUCGGAUCAGGUAGGAAUACCCGCUGAACUUAAGCAUAUCAAUAAGCGGAGGA
rnacentral:misc_RNA from 1 species